rnacentral:rRNA from 1 species
UACAGAGGGUGCGAGCGUUAAUCGGAAUUACUGGGCGUAAAGGGCGCGUAGGCGGUUAUAUAAGUUAGAGGUGAAAUCCCCGGGCUUAACCUGGGAACGGCCUUUAAGACUGUAUGACUAGAGUAGUGUAGAGGGGAGUGGAAUUUACGGUGUAGCGGUGAAAUGCGUAGAUAUCGUAAGGAAGACCAGUGGCGAAGGCGGGUCUCUGGACAGUUCCUGACGCUGAGGCACGAAGGUCAGGGGAGCAAACGGG